rnacentral:lncRNA from 1 species
AUGGAAGCAGCAGCCAAGGUGUAUUACUCCUGUGGUGCAGUGGUGGAAUCAAUGGAAAGAGGCCUGAUUUUGUCACCAGGUUUUCCAAACAACUAUUACCCAGGGACACACUGCGUCUGGCAGUUUUUCAUUCCCAUGAGAACCCAUCUCAUCUUGGAAAUAUUUGACUUUGACAUUUUUGAGAGCUCUAGUGAAACUCCAACCCCCUGGGAUGGCUUUACAGCCCCUGCUACAACAGAAAAUAAGGACAUGCCUUCUCUUGAGGAAAACCUGGAAUUUGCUGUCCACACCACAAAACCCUCUCUCCGGGCCUCAGCAUCAAAGGUGGCUCAGAAUCUGAGCAGCACCAGAGACCAGUCAAAGGACCUUGCUGGUCACCUGAGUGAACUUCCAGGAUCCAUCUCAAAAAAAGAUGAAGCCAAACAAGCAUCUGAAGAAAACCAGUGGAAGCAGAUGAAGGAACCCAAAGCAAUUACCAAGGAGGAGCUGCCAUUCCCCGUGGCUGGUAGUGUCUCAAUGCAGAGGCAAAACACCAGUGGCCUGGAAACAGGAGAGGAUUUGGAAGGGAAGAUCUUGCUUGCCCACCUGGCUGCUAGUGAGAGAAAUGAAGUCACAGUAGAGAGCUGGACUCUUCCCUCAACAGCAUUGCCCUUGGAAAUCUCCUCCAGCCCUCAGUCAGCAGUGGAUGUCUGUCCCCAUGAUGUAUUAUAUGUUUCCGAUCUCAUCACAUUUUCCUCUCGCUUCUGCGGCCCAAAUUCCCCUGUAAACAAGACCAUGGUCUUUGGUUCAUCUCUGGAAAUGGUUGAGGUUAUUAUGGAGCUGAUCACCACCACGGACCGGGGCCGAGGCUUUGCGAUGCUGUUCGAGUACAGGAACAUCACUGACCCCAGCACUGUGGAUGCUGUGAGGCAGGAGAGGAAGGAGAACAUGAUGAUGCUGGCAAUUGUAACAGGGAUCAUUGUUUUUGCUCUUGCUUUGCUCUCUGCCCUCUGUGUAGCUUGCAGGCAGAGAACGUGCCCCAAAAGGAGCUCAUCCAACGCAUGCAGUGACCAGGAGAACAGGAUCCAGAACUCCACUGUCGAUAUCAAUGAGCUCCAGCUGGUGGUGCCAAGUCGGGAGAAUGAAAACAACAACCACUCUGUGAGCCGGGAGCAGGCGGUCACUUCCUGCAGAGGCAGCACGGAACGGUCUCCUCAGGACACUGACCCAGAUGUGCCCUCCUCCAUCUCUGCAGUGACCACUGAGACUGGGAGUGAUGAAGUGUUUAUCAUUUCUGCUGGACCUGGGACCAGUGGGCUGAGCUUUACCACCUACAGGAUACAGGACAAAAACCUGAAAAGAAGUGUCACAAGCCCGGCCUCUGUGUCUGACUGGCUGAGCUCACACCCCACGGCUGCAGGGGCAGACGCUGCUGAGAAGGGGAAUGUGCAGCUGGAGAAUCCCUGUCCCAGGCAGCGCACCUGGAGCGCCCGCACCUUCCACGACUUCCUGGCUCCAAUACCACAGCUACAGAAAAAAUGGUGUAGCUGGAGCACCAACAGCCCCUUCACAAAGCUGGUUGACAGCAGUGGCUUUUCUACAGCUGCAAGAUCCCAAGCUGUGCCAACCAGAAAGGUAAUCUCAGCCACUGAGAUAGAGGGAGCAUCAGAGACUGUUUACUCUGAUUCAUCUGCCAGUAAUGCCUCAUACCCCCUCACUCUGUCUGCACAGAGGCAGCGGAAGUUAACCUCCUGCAAUUUGAAGAAAUCCAGAUUUGGGAACCCUUAUUUUGGAUUUUUAGCCAGUUCUCCUGACACCAAACAUGUCAGGUCCUUGGAUCCCUCAAGACAUCUAGGGGCAGCAUCUCCAGUUAACAGCCAAAGCCCCAAAAAUCUUCUAGAGAGCUCCAACCCACUGAAAAUCAACUUGGUCAACGGUUCAAAAACAAAGGAGCUUAUGGCAGAAACAGAUAAAAACAAACCAGUUUUUGUUAUUUCUGAAGAAGGGGAUGAUCAGCAGCCUCUGGUCUUGGCAGAACACCUUAGUCAGUGUGGAGAUCACCUGUCAGAGCAAAAUGCUGUGUAUGCUCUGGCCCUGCCAGAAAAACAGCCAGUGGUUCCAACUGCAGAGGGGAACAGCUCUGCCACCUUCACAUCGAGUCUUCCCCUUUGGGCAAAAUCCCCCAGUUCAUACAAAGGUCACGGGAAGGCCCCCAGCUCCUCCAGGGACCAGCAGAGCUCAGCAGGUGGAGAUGCCAACACUACUGAGACCUCACAGAACUGCGACACCCCCACUGCUCCUACGCUGUGCCAAGCUUCAGUCCAGUGA